GCGAAUUUCGGUGAUAGAGAAGAAGAGAACGACGGCGAUGACGACGAGGAUCAAGAAAAUGUACCUCUUCCGGAGCUGGAAUCGCCGAGAGCUCGAGCUGAUAUCUUCGACGUGGAAAGCGGCGGCGCCGGCGGUGGUGGAGGUGGAGGGAAGAGUGGGAGGCUUUCUAACGUUUUGGUCGAUGAGGUUGUGGCGGUCGUCUUCGUCGUCGGAAGACGAAUCCAUGUGGUUUAGUUUGUUAGCCACAGCGGCAGUGUGAUGAAGAAGCGAGUGAAGGAGUCAGUGAGUGAGUAGCAGUAGCAGAAAUGGUAGAGCCAAAGAGGUUGCAGUUGCAGAAGAUCCAGCCAUGUGAGUGAGCCAGAGAGCGAGUGAGUGAAUCGUUGGUGAGUCACUGAGUCGAUUUGUCGGUGAAAGUGACUCGGUUUAGUGAGUAAGUGGCGGUUAGCGAGAAGAGGAGGGACACGGAUUAGGUGCGCAACCUAUGUUUUGUCACCGAAGCGCCCAAAACAAUUUUGACGCACCACUGCACCAGUGCGCUCAAAAAGAAUUGUAUAUUUGUAUGUAAUAUACUUUAUUUUUUGGGUAUUCGGUUAUUUAUAACAAUAUCUAUAAUCUAUAAUAUCUAUAUCUAUAAUUCUAUAAUAAUAUAUAAUGCCAGCAAGCAAGAAUUUACCAUCUUUAGGGUUCCAAUCAAUGGUUUUUCUCUGUGAGAAGUUCUGAUCCACUGUUCUACACCUAUUGUAACUAACUCCACCGAACAAAUUAGGAUUUCUAAAAUCGAAAUCAGGCUCAUUUGUGUUACCUGUUCGAUGCGGAUUCAGCAGAACCUGCUGAAUCUCUCGGUUAAGAGAGAUCUGUUUGAACAGCGCCGAUUUCAGAUCCUCCAAUUGAUUUGGAUCGGAAUAUGACGCAUUGUGCUGAAAAGUUCGAUUCCAAGCGGUUAAGAGCCCUAGUUGCUGCUCCCGCAAGAGGUUAAUGGCGCGCAAUUCAGAUUCCUUCAUUUGACCGGAGAGAUAAUCGGAGGAGAAGCUGGCGAUAGGGCCAUGGCGAAUUUCGGUGAUAGAGAAGAAGAGAACGACGGCGAUGACGACGAGGAUCAAGAAAAUGUACCUCUUCCGGAGCUGGAAUCGCCGAGAGCUCGAGCUGAUAUCUUCGACGUGGAAAGCGGCGGCGCCGGCGGUGGUGGAGGUGGAGGGAAGAGUGGGAGGCUUUCUAACGUUUUGGUCGAUGAGGUUGUGGCGGUCGUCUUCGUCGUCGGAAGACGAAUCCAUGUGGUUUAGUUUGUUAGCCACAGCGGCAGUGUGAUGAAGAAGCGAGUGAAGGAGUCAGUGAGUGAGUAGCAGUAGCAGAAAUGGUAGAGCCAAAGAGGUUGCAGUUGCAGAAGAUCCAGCCAUGUGAGUGAGCCAGAGAGCGAGUGAGUGAAUCGUUGGUGAGUCACUGAGUCGAUUUGUCGGUGAAAGUGACUCGGUUUAGUGAGUAAGUGGCGGUUAGCGAGAAGAGGAGGGACACGGAUUAG
rnacentral:lncRNA from 1 species